rnacentral:rRNA from 1 species
AUUGAACGCUGGCGGCAGGCUUAACACAUGCAAGUCGAGCGGAGCGAGGGUGCUUGCACCUUAGCCUAGCGGCGGACGGGUGAGUAAUGCUUAGGAAUCUGCCUAUUAGUGGGGGACAACAUCUCGAAAGGGAUGCUAAUACCGCAUACGUCCUACGGGAGAAAGCAGGGGAUCACUUGUGACCUUGCGCUAAUAGAUGAGCCUAAGUCGGAUUAGCUAGUUGGUGGGGUAAAGGCCUACCAAGGCGACGAUCUGUAGCGGGUCUGAGAGGACGAUCCGCCACUGGGACUGAGACACGGCCCAGACUCCUACGGGAGGCAGCAGUGGGGAAUAUUGGACAAUGGGGGGAACCCUGAUCCAGCCAUGCCGCGUGUGUGAAGAAGGCCUUAUGGUUGUAAAGCACUUUAAGCGAGGAGGAGGCUCUUUUGGUUAAUACCCAGAAUGAGUGGACGUUACUCGCAGAAUAAGCACCGGCUAACUCUGUGCCAGCCGCCGCAGUAAGAC